rnacentral:rRNA from 1 species
CAAUAGCGUAUAUUAAAGUUGUUGCAGUUAAAAAGCUCGUAGUUGGAUUUGUGGUGUGUCCAGUCGGCCUUUGCUCUCUGAGUGAUUGUGCUGUACUGGUCUGCCAUGUUUGGGUGGAAUCUGUGUGGCAUUAAGUUGUCGUGCAGGGGAUACCCAUCGUUUACUGUGAAAAAAUUAGAGUGUUCAAAGCAGGCUUAUGCCGUUGAAUAUAUUAGCAUGGAAUAAUGAUAUAGGACCUUGGUACUAUUUUGUUGGUUUGCGCACUAAGGUAAUGAUUAAGAGGGACAGUUGGGGGUAUUUGUAUUCCAUUGUCAGAGGUGAAAUUCUUAGAUUUUUGGAAGACAAACUACUGCGAAAGCAUUUACCAAGGAUGUUUUCAUUAA